rnacentral:rRNA from 1 species
UCCGAAGGGGGCUAGCGUUGUUCGGAAUUACUGGGCGUAAAGCGCACUUAGGCGGACUGGUAAGUUGGGGGUGAAAUCCCGGGGCUCAACCCCGGAAUUGCCUUCAAGACUGCAAGUCUGGAGGUCAGGAGAGGCGAGCGGAAUUCCGAGUGUAGAGGUGAAAUUCGUAGAUAUUCGGAGGAACACCAGUGGCGAAGGUGGCUCGCGGGACUGAUACUGACGAUGAUGAGCGAAAGCGUGGGGAGCAAACAGG